GUGCAAUUAAGAUGUGGGUGUGAGUAUUACAUCAGGUACUGGUGUAAUAACAAAACUACCAGUACUUGUGUUAUACUUGCGCUCAUGUCUGUUCAGCGUACCAAUCUGCCAAC
rnacentral:pre_miRNA from 1 species